CAUAGCGACUAUCGUGGCAUAUCAAUAAGCGGAGGAAAAGAAACUAACAAGGAUUCCCCUAGUAACGGCGAGUGAAGCGGGAAGAGCUCAAAUUUGAAAUCUUCAAGGGUUUCCCUUGACGAAUUGUAGUUUAAAGAAGUGUUUUCUGUUAGAGAGGUGGUAAAAGUUCUUUGGAAUAGGACAUCAUAGAGGGUGAGAAUCCCGUAUUUGAUCACUUUCUACUAACGUUGUGAUACACUUUCAAAGAGUCGGAUUGUUUGGGAAUGCAGUCCAAAAUGGGUGGUAAAUUUCAUCUAAAGCUAAAUAUUGGCGAGAGACCGAUAGCGAACAAGUACCGUGAGGGAAAGAUGAAAAGAACUUUGAAAAGAGAGUUAAACAGUACGUGAAAUUGUCAAAAGGGAAGCGUUUGACACCAGUGUUGUUUUUCCGAAAAUCAAUUAAGAAUGGCCGGAUUUUAAGUUUCAUGACCUUAAAAGCUUGUUUCUUAUUUUUCUUGUCUUUCUUAAUGCACUUUUCGGUUAACAAGUCAACAUCAAUUUCUUUUGUUGUAAAAGAGUCAUUGGAAGGUGGCUUUCUCUUCGGAAAAAGUGUUUAUAGCCUUUGGCUUCUGCAAUCGGAGAGAUUGAGGUCUGCAGCGUAGAUCCUUCGGGGUUAGAUACAUUUGUGCUAAGCUAUAGUUCUUUAUAGACAACUUGUUGACUAUAAUCAAUCCUGUAACUUACUCGCUUAUGCUAUUUUACCUACGCUUAGGAUGUUGAUAUGCAUGACUGAUAU
rnacentral:rRNA from 1 species